rnacentral:tRNA from 1 species
GUCCCCGUAGCUCAGUUGGAUAGAGCAACAGAUUUCUAAUCUGUCGGUCGCGUGUUCGAAUCACGCCGGGGACG